CAUACAUGUUUCUCAUACAGGUAGCCCAAUUUAUGUUCCCCUAAUAUAAUGAGUGCACUCAUAAAGUGGCCCAUACAUACCCAUAUAUACAUCAUUAGUUUAUACCAUAAGUACGUAUUUAUGGUUAUGUAUUUUGGUGAAGCGUAUGUUAUGUUUUGUUUCCAGCAUCUAAAUGUAAAAUGUUCCUGCUCUUUCUUGUUGGAUUACGGUAACCAAAAAUAGAUUCUAUUACCUCAUAAAUUACUGCUUUCUUUUUUUAGGGUGGGCAGCAGUAUAGCGCUACCUCCUCGUGGUGCUGCCUGGGGUCACUAGCAUGUAUUGUAUAGGUACUGCUAGUGAUGCUAAAAGCGCUAUAAGAAGGCAAGAGAGCUGGAACGAGCUCAAGAGAUUGUCACAGUGACUGAUAUUACAACUAUUAUACUUAAGUGUAGUGAUGAUGCUAAGAGAACUACAAGGCUAUAGCAAGAUUAUAUGCUACCAGUCUUAGUCCAACAUAAAGAUAAAAUGUGAAGCAAAAGAAGGAUUAUUAAAGACACAGACAUUAAAACUUCCUUUCCUUUCCCUCUCUUACUAUAGCUCAUUGGACAUUAAUUUAUUUUGCUUGUUUAAAAACAUUUUUCAUUACUUUGUAAUGGUGAUUUUAAA